UGGCCUUCGGGAUCGGAGUAAUG
rnacentral:siRNA from 1 species